rnacentral:rRNA from 1 species
AACCACCUGAUCCCUUCCCGAACUCAGAAGUGAAACGACGCAUCGCCGAUGGUAGUGUGGGGUCUCCCCAUGUGAGAGUAGGUCAUCGUC